rnacentral:rRNA from 1 species
UAACUUGCCUUUUAAUUGAAGGAUAGAAUGAAAGGAGUCACGACUAACCAACUUUCUAGAAUUUACCCUAAUGAAUUUUACUAAAAAGUAAAAAGGCUUUUACCACAAAGAAGGACAACAAGACCCCGACGAACUCCUCCUACUCAGCUGGGGCAGCUAAAAACCAAAAACCUUUAUUACAUCUCCACACCGACCCAAUAAUAUUGACCAAAGACCGAGUUACCGCGGGGAUAACAGCAUAAUCAGACACCAGAGACCCUAUCCAAUGUCUGCCCUUUGACCUCGAUGUUGAAUUAAUAAAGCUACAUUAAGCAAAAAGAAUGCAAGCAGGUCUGUUCGACCUUUAAUAAAUUACAUGAUUUGAGUUCAGACCGGCGCAAGCCAGGUCAGUUUAUAUCCUCUUGCAACCCAGUGUUAGUACGAAAGGACCACACAAAGAUUAAUA